rnacentral:rRNA from 1 species
UACACACCGCCCGUCACACCAUGGGAGUCGUUUGCUCCAGAAGUGCCUACGCCAACCGCAAGGAGGCAGGGCCCCAAGGAGUGAAUGGUAACUGGGGUG